GUCACUCAUAAGGUGCAGUACAGCUAUAUAUAAAAUAUUUUUUUCCAGAUCAUAACGCAUUUCCAGUUAUUCUCACAUGCAACUUUAAUCGUUGGCAAAGCUGGUCUAUUAUACUAAUAAUAUUAUUGAGCGUGAUUAUUGCGCAAACCCGGCUAUAAUCAUGUGCGUUUUCAUAACAUCUGAAUUAACAAAUCAGACCUUCAAGGUUUUGAUGAGCAGAACAUUGCAGCGAAUCAUCAUCAUCAUGUGUGCUUGAUGUCUGUUUGCUUUCUUAUAAAUAGUAAUUUAUUACGAUAAACGUUCAUAUGUACUGCUCCAUUGCCAGUUAAGGAAUUUUCUCACUGUUGGUUGUUAUUAUCCUCGUUUGCAUGAGUAAUUCAUCAAGAAACGCUGUACAAUGAAUGAAUGCGCUUUAAGUUUAAACUGUUAACUUUUUCUAAUGUAAUAAGUGUUUAAUCUAAUCAUGACUACAUUCGGCGCGUACUUGAAACGGAACUAAUUAAUACAAAGUUUCUCUUUGAACUCAUGAUUGUUCUAAGACAUAUCAUCAUGCUUUGUCAUGGAAUAAUUUGUAUUUGUAGUAAUUUAAAAGUCCUUUUAAAGUGUUUACUUCUUCUAGAUGUAGAAAAAGUUACAUGAUGAGGCUCACGUAUGAGCUAGAUUCACCACGAAACUUUGAAACGUUUAUUAAUAACAUGAUCUCCAAACUCGAGCCACGCGCCGUGUGAUUCGGCGCACAGCAUCGUUCCCUUCACUGACCGCUUAAUAUGCUUUUUAAAAUGAAUUAAUUCCACCACGGGUAAAGCCGGAGAGGAGGUCGACGAAACCGUUUCCUCAAAAGACAUUUUUUUUUUUUUUUUCUAAAAAAAACGUAAAUCCAGUCCUUGGAAUCGGGUUAAGAGAGCUCAGCGGGUCCAGCGAGAGAAGCUCAGCCUGAGGCUCAGGUGAGUCCUUACCUUUGGUGUUGCCUUUCCUGGACGAAGCUCAGAGUGCAGAACUCAACCGCUGCUGGUUCCAGCUACAGUGGGACCUGCGACCCCCGGCCCCCUUAUAUAGCCGGUGUCCGGCGCCCGUAUUUCUCAGCCCCCCAUUGAGGAGCUCCGCGCCCCCCCACUGGAAUUCCUCCCGGCCUUCAUCCAUAUUUGGUACUUGGAGGGCACGCGGACAGUGGCUUCCCUCUCGAGCCGCAGGUUCGAAGUGCGCGGGGGGGGUCCAUAUAUGGAGCGGUGGUCCCGAUCCGAGGCCACGCUGCUCGGCCCGUAUAUGGAGACCCCCACACUUCGCUUCUUGUUCUUCCUUCGCGGCACAUGGAGCAGCCCCCCCACCACAGGUUUUUGCCUUAUCAGAAAAAAAGACCCCCCCCCACCACACACACACACAGUCGUCGGACUUCACCUGCGAUGUGUUUAGAUACUUAAAAUCACUCCAUUCCGACUCAGUACCGAAAGGAAGCAGAAACCUGAAGACACUGCAGCCUUCAGCCACAGCCAAGUCCGCAGGGUGGAGAGCUGCUGACUGGAGCCUGAUUUCUGGGAGGACGAUUUUGUGGGUGUGGGUGGUCCGGCUCUGACUGCUGAGGUCUGACGUCCAGUCCAGCGUCUCUCGGUGACCUCUUUCGAAUCCAAUAGAGCGCCAUAUCGAUAAGCGUUGCAUAAACCAGCCACUGUCCCUGUCCCCGCCGGGGGAACGUAUCGUACAGUCAUUAGAGUCGGACUUACCGGGAAAUUUUCAUCAUUCAAUCGUUUUCGCAAUACUUGGAAACUUCUUUAGCCAGAGUGCAAUGGAAUCUUGCAGGAACAGAUUCUGUAAAAACAAAUCUUUAGCAUCGUUAUGUGCAUAUUAAGCAGAUGGUCACAGAUCUGUAAAGUACUGCAAAAACAACACAAAGAAAAAAAAUGUUUAAAAAUUUUACACAGAGGAAAGCUACGAGAACAGCGCUUGUGUAACUCGUACGCGUGGCAACCCGGACUUCUGAUUCGCGUGCGGACGGUGUUUACGUACGCCUCGUGUCACUCACUAUUACAUUUCGGCUCAUCUGACCGAAAAAGGUCUUCAAAGGGAAAAAACUUCCAAAACAGGAAAAAAAAUUUUCAUAUUUGAUACUGAGACUGGAUAAACAAGAGCUGGCCUGCUUUACGGAAAAUGUGAAAAUGCUUAAUGUUUCUAAAGCCAUUAUUGUGACCCAUUGUUUUACUCCGAUUGCUUGCAAAUUUUGCGCCUGAAGUGCUGGGAUAUAAAAAUGUCACAUUCCGAGGAGUCGCACGGUGGGGUCCUGAAACAGACCACUUUGGAUCCUCUUGGCCUUUUUCUCAAUGCUAUAACAAUGACUUCACAAUGACGGAAUGUCUUCCUCUGCCGAAGCGAAGGGGUCAUCGGUGCCAUGAGCAGAGGACCAGUUGUUAAGAGUCUUUGGUGUGUUUGGAAUCGUUCGCUAGAGUAAAUCAACAGAGAGGCCUUUAAUAGUCAGCAUCCAGGCUCCACCUCCACUGACUAAAAACUAGAGCCCG
rnacentral:lncRNA from 1 species